GUCUCAAAGAUUAAGCCAUGCAUGUCUAAGUACUAACCCAAGCAAGGUGAAACCGCGAAUGGCUCAUUAAAUCAGUUAUGGUUCAUUGGAUCUUCCCUACUCAUUACUUGGAUAACCGUGGUAAUUCUAGAGCUAAUACAUGCCAACCAGUAGCUCCGACGCACUGAGGUGCGGAAGAGCGCUUUUAUUAGAUCAAAACCGAUCCUCCCUCGGGAGGUCAAACCCCUUUGGUGGUGACUCUGAAUAACUUACAGCUGAGCGCACGGCCUCCGUGCCGGCGCCGCAUCCUUCAAGUGUCUGCCUUAUCAGCUCUCGAUUGUAGGCUAUACGCCUACAAUGGCUAUAACGGGUAACGGGGAAUCAGGGUUCGAUUCCGGAGAGGGAGCCUGAGAAACGGCUACCACAUCUAAGGAAGGCAGCAGGCACGCAAAUUACCCACUCCCGGCUCGGGGAGGUAGUGACGAAAAAUAACGAUGCGGGACUCUGUAGAGGCCUCGCAAUCGGAAUGAGUACAGUUUAAAUCCUUUAACGAGGAUCUAUUGGAGGGCAAGUCUGGUG
rnacentral:rRNA from 1 species